GAACGGCAGCACAGCAGUAGCAAUACUGUGGGUGGCGAGUGGCGGACGGGUGAGGAAUGCAUCGGAAUCUGCCUAUUUGUGGGGGAUAACGUAGGGAAACUUACGCUAAUACCGCAUACGACCUACGGGUGAAAGUGGGGGACCGCAAGGCCUCACGCAGAUAGAUGAGCCGAUGCCGGAUUAGCUAGUUGGCGGGGUAAAGGCCCACCAAGGCGACGAUCCGUAGCUGGUCUGAGAGGAUGAUCAGCCACACUGGAACUGAGACACGGUCCAGACUCCUACGGGAGGCAGCAGUGGGGAAUAUUGGACAAUGGGCGCAAGCCUGAUCCAGCCAUGCCGCGUGAGUGAAGAAGGCCUUCGGGUUGUAAAGCUCUUUUGUCCGGAAAGAAAAGCAUUCGGUUAAUAACCGGGUGUCAUGACGGUACCGGAAGAAUAAGCACCGGCUA
rnacentral:rRNA from 1 species